rnacentral:rRNA from 1 species
CCUACGGGGGGCUGCAGUAGGGAAUUUUGCGCAAUGGACGAAAGUCUGACGCAGCGACGCCGCGUGGAGGAUUGAAGGUCUUCGGAUCGUAAACUCCUUUUAUUAGGGACGAUUAUGACGGUACCUAAUGAAUAAGCACCGACUAACUACGUGCCAGCAGUCGCGGUAAUACGUAGGGUGCAAGCGUUAUCCGGAUUUAUUGGGCGUAAAGCGCUCGUAGGUGGUUUAGUAAGUCUUCUGUUAAAGCUCCAGGCUUAACUUGGAGAGCGCAGAGGAUACUGCUUUACUAGAGGAUGGCAGGGGCUAGCGGAAUUCUAGGUGUAGGAGUGAAAUCCUUUGAUAUCUAGAAGAACACCAAUGGCGAAGGCAGCUAGCUAGGUCAUAUCUGACACUGAGGAGCGAAAGCGUGGGGAGCGAACGGGCUUAGAUACCCCAGUAGUC